GGACUACUGGGGUAUCUAAUCCCGUUUGCUCCCCUGGCUUUCGCGCCUCAGCGUCAGGUGAGGUCCAGCAGGGCGCUUUCGCCACCGGCGUUCCUUCCGAUAUCAACGCAUUUCACCGCUCCACCGGAAGUUCCCCCUGCCCCUACCUCGCUCGAGCUUGUCAGUAUCCCGGGCACUUUUCCGGUUGAGCCGAAAGAUUUCACCCGAGACUGGACAAGCCGCCUACGCGCCCUUUAAGCCCAGUGAUUCCGAACAACGUUCGCACGGUUCGUCUUACCGCGGCUGCUGGCAC
rnacentral:rRNA from 1 species